AUGCUACAAGAUACUAAAGGAUUGGAUUCUAAGUCUCGGUUUGAAUCCUAAAUUGCCUCGAAUAACAUAUGUGAUUAAUAUGAAAGAAUAUCGAGAGGCUUUUAACAGCAAAACAAGGAAUAAAUGAAAGGUGGAAUAAUACAUACUGAAUGGGCUACAAUGGAAUUAAGACAAAUUGUGAAUAUUGAGAAUGAAGAUGUUGG